rnacentral:miRNA from 1 species
AGAUCAUCUAGGAUUGUUUGC